AGAGUUUGAUCCUGGCUCAGAACGAACGCUGGCGGCGUGCUUAACACAUGCAAGUCGUGCGAGUUGAUCUUCGGAUCUUCGAGCGGCGGACGGGUGAGUAACACGUAAGCAACCUACCCCCGGGUUCGGGAUAACAUUGCGAAAGCGAUGCUAAUACCGAAUAAAGUCCAGAAGGCGAUGUUUUCAGGACCAAAGGCGGCCUCUGAUUCAAGCUGUCGUCUGGGGAUGGGCUUGCGGCCCAUUAGCUUGUUGGUGAGGUAACGGCUCACCAAGGCUUCGAUGGGUAGCCGGGCUGAGAGGCUGAACGGCCACACUGGAACUGAGACACGGUCCAGACUCCUACGGGAGGCAGCAGUGGGGAAAUUUGGGCAAUGGGCGAAAGCCUGACCCAGCGACGCCGCGUGAGCGAUGAAGCCCUUUGGGGUGUAAAGCUCUUUUCUGGGGGAAGAACAAGCGCAAUUCGAAUAGGGUUGUGUUCUGACGGUACCUCAGGAAUAAGCCCCGGCUAACUCCGUGCCAGCAGCCGCGGUAAUACGGAGGGGGCGAGCGUUGUUCGGAAUUACUGGGCGUAAAGGGCGUGUAGGCGGCCCUGCAAGUCAGACGUGAAAGCCCUCGGCUCAACUGAGGACGUGCGUUUGAUACUGCUGGGCUUGAGUGCGGGAGAGGAGAGUGGAAUUCCCAGUGUAGCGGUGAAAUGCGUAGAUAUUGGGAGGAACACCUGUGACGAAGGCGGCUCUCCGGACCGCAACUGACGCUGAGACGCGAAAGCGUGGGGAGCGAACGGGAUUAGAUACCCCGGUAGUCCACGCUGUAAACGAUGGGUACUAGGUGUAGCGGGUAUAGACGCCUGCUGUGCCGCAGCUAACGCAUUAAGUACCCCGCCUGGGGAGUACGGUCGCAAGAUUGAAACUCAAAGGAAUUGACGGGGGCCCGCACAAGCGGUGGAGCAUGUGGUUUAAUUCGAUGCAACGCGAAGAACCUUACCUGGGCUUGACAUGCUUGGGACAGGUGGUGAAAGCCACCCUUCCGCAAGGACCCUUGCACAGGUGCUGCAUGGCUGUCGUCAGCUCGUGUCGUGAGAUGUUGGGUUAAGUCCCGCAACGAGCGCAACCCCUACCCUUAGUUGCCAGCGGUUAGGCCGGGGACUCUAGGGGAACUGCCGGUGACAAACCGGAGGAAGGUGGGGAUGACGUCAAGUCCUCAUGGCCUUUAUGUCCAGGGCUACACACGUGCUACAAUGGUCGGUACAAAGGGUUGCAAUACCGUGAGGUGGAGCCAAUCCCAAAAAGCCGGCCUCAGUUCGGAUUGGAGUCUGCAACUCGACUCCAUGAAGGUGGAAUCGCUAGUAAUCGCGGAUCAGCAUGCCGCGGUGAAUACGUUCCCGGGCCUUGUACACACCGCCCGUCACACCACGAAAGUCGAUUGCGGUAGAAGUCGGUGAGCCAACCAUGCAAAUGGAGGCAGCCGCCCACGCUGUGGUCGAUGAUUGGGGUGAAGUCGAAACAAGGUA
rnacentral:rRNA from 1 species